rnacentral:rRNA from 1 species
AGAGUUUGAUUCUGGCUCAGGACGAACGCUGGCGGCGUGCCUAAUACAUGCAAGUCGAGCGAGCUGAACCAACAGAUUCACUUCGGUGAUGACGUUGGGAACGCGAGCGGCGGAUGGGUGAGUAACACGUGGGGAACCUGCCCCAUAGUCUGGGAUACCACUUGGAAACAGGUGCUAAUACCGGAUAAGAAAGCAGAUCGCAUGAUCAGCUUAUAAAAGGCGGCGUAAGCUGUCGCUAUGGGAUGGCCCCGCGGUGCAUUAGCUAGUUGGUAGGGUAACGGCCUACCAAGGCAAUGAUGCAUAGCCGAGUUGAGAGACUGAUCGGCCACAUUGGGACUGAGACACGGCCCAA